rnacentral:rRNA from 1 species
GUGGGGAAUAUUGCACAAUGGGGGAAACCCUGAUGCAGCAACGCCGCGUGGAGGAUGACGCAUUUCGGUGUGUAAACUCCUUUUAUAAGGGAAGAUAAUGGCGGUACCUUAUGAAUAAGCACCGGCUAACUCCGUGCCAGCAGCCGCGGUAAUACGGAGGGUGCAAGCGUUACUCGGAAUCACUGGGCGUAAAGGAUGCGUAGGCUGUAAUAUAAGUCAGAAGUGAAAUCCAACGGCUUAACCGUUGAACUGCUUUUGAAACUGUUUUACUAGAAUAUGGGAGAGGUAGAUGGAAUUGGUGGUGUAGGGGUAAAAUCCGUAGAUAUCACCAGGAAUACCGAUUGCGAAGGCGAUCUACUGGAACAUUAUUGACGCUGAGGCAUGAAAGCGUGGGGAGCAAACAGGAUUAGAAACCCCAGUAGUCC